UUAGAAAUAUAUUUUUGUCUGACAAAAUGAAAGUGGUCCACUGUUCUCGAUUAUUAUGGUUCAACACCAGCAGAAAACAAAAUUUCAUAUGUGAAAUGCCAUUCCCUGGCAGUCACUGACCUUUCUCGAUAAUAUUUUCAUGUGCUGGGGAGGUGAGUGAUUCAUCCCCCUGAAGAUAGAGAAAGUCUCCUAAAGUAGUAUGGAGAACUUGAGCACAACCUGUAAACAUCAUGGUAUUUUGAUUGGCAGGACAGUGUGGCUUAUUCUAGGUGAAGAGAACAGCGGAAGUAAAGACCCAUUAUGCACCCAUGAAUGAGGUACAAUGUGGAACUGAACCAGGGAGUUGGGUCACGGAAAAGCAAAUGAGGAGCAGAAAACCACAUGAGAUUUCUUAUCCGGGACUUGUCUUGAAAAUAGGGUUGAGGAGGGAAGAGACUUAAUAUUUAUUGAAUUCCUAUGAUUAUCUCUAAUACUCACUACUAGCCAGGAACUAUUCUCCCCAAUUUAUAUGUGAGGCGACUGAAGCUUAUAGGGAUAAAAGAAGGUGUCAGGGGUAAUAGAACUCAUAAGUGCCAGAGCCAAGCGCGUAGCAAGGAUGUUAAGAUACAAGAAGUUUUGAGAAGUGCAAAUGAAAUUUGAUUGGAAACAGUACAGCAAAUCCCACUUAGUGAAAUGUUAGGCCCAGCUCGCAGGAGAGCAGGUGCUCCGGUGGGAGGUAAAGGAUGGGCUUUGCCUUCUCAGGAAGGGAAAAUGAUUUGAGGUUGUAGAUUCCAGAUGAUGCCUUCAACAGUGCCCCCAGUUGGUCGAAGGACCAGGAGUGUGUCAAUUUCCUGAACCCAGACAAGGCUUUGCCCAACAAGCUUGGUGACAUCUGCCCAAAUGUCUUUUGUAGGUUUCUGGAGAUGUAUACAUCUGGAGUAAAGUCAGUCAGUCUCUCUCUCUCUCCCUCCCUCCCUCCUUCUCCUUCCCUCUUUCUUCCUCUCUCUAUCUCCCUCUCCUCCUCUGUGUAUAUGUGAGUGUGUAUGUGUGUGUGUUGCACAGAGCAACAUGUACAUACAUGUAUACACGUGCACACAGAGCAAAGUUUAACUGUGACAGAUGUCUAGUUUUCACUUCUUUGUCUGUUUUACGGAUAUCCAUCAAUCACUAAACCAAUCAACCGGUCAAUCAAUCACUCAUCUAUCAGGGACCCAGAAUAGCCCGAGUAGAUGAAUAUAUGACAUCCCUUAGGUCCCCUCUUCUCACUGUGACCUCUGCAUGUUGGUUUUCAAGUUUCAUGCUGUGUCAGUCUCCCAUGGAAAGCUUGUGAAUUAGAUCCUUAGAGCCGGCAAGUCUGGGGUUGGCUGAUGAAGGCCACAUUGUAACAAUUCCUGAGGACUUUUAGUGCAAAUGGUAUCUUGACCAAACUCAGAGUGGCUUUGAGUUUGCACCUCCUCCUGGCGCUGUGCCAGCAUUCAUAAAGAGGCCACCAGGGGUUGCUGAGCAAAACCUUUCCUAGUUGCAGGGAACUGAGACGGUGUUCUUGGUCUUUUUCAAAAGAGCCCCUCGCACUGUGGGUGGGAGGAUCUUCAAUGAGCAGGACUGAAGAGAGCAUGGAUCUUCCAGCUGAUUCUGAAUAAAAGCCCAUCAAAGCUAUUAGUCAGGUUCCCUCCAUCACUAAGAAUGCAGCUGUGUGUUUGAAGGAGCCCUGGGCUAGAAGCACAAGACCCUGCCUUGCUGCUGAUUCAUUCGGUGAUUCUCAGUGCAACUUCCCUGUUGCUACAGUCCAGUUGCCAUAGCAGAAAACUGGAGGGCUAGGAGUAGCUGGAUUCUAAGGUGCUCCAGGUCUAUGAUGACUUCAUUAACUCUCCCAAUCCCAACUUCCUAUGAGGUGUGAACCCUUUCCUGUCCCUCCAGCCCACCACAGGAGUUGCCCAUCCUUCCCUCCAGGUACCAAUCAAGUGGUCUCCUUUGCAAAGAGGAGAACACUAAAGAGACUUGGUCAAGGUUCCAGCUGGGAUGCAAGGGAAGCUGACUGUGUGUGAUCUUUGGAGUCAGGUUGUUAGCAUCCAGUUUACAUUUUCUCAUGUACUGGGGUGUAGGUAAGGAUGUUCUGAGUGCCAGGAAAGUGGGACUGGAGUUACAUGUGACUGAGGGAUCAGGGGGCACAUGGCCACUAUGCUACAAAAAUCCAGGAGCAUGGCUGAUGUGCUAAUUAUGUGACCUGUGCCCCCAGUCUUGUGUAGUAAACAACAUGAGAGGUAUCCCUCGAAGUGCGUAUAGGCUUAGAGGUGUAUCCUUCUCCUUGCAAGUGACUGUUAAUGGUAGCAUUUAAGGACCAUCUUUACAAGUGCUAGGUGGGCAUCUCAACAAAGUCUAUUGGCUGUGUCUUCCAUGGAAUCGAUGAACAACAUCACUUCAACUCAGUGUAGAAGCCAUCAGCUCAGGAGUCCAUGCACUUAGGGAGGGCUACGUCUUCCAUAUCUCAUCCUCCAUGCAUGAGUUGGAGAUCUCCAUGGAGACUCUGAUGAAGCAGAAGAUGCUUUCAAGUUCUACAUGGACCAGGGCCUCCUAGGAAGGACAGCCUCCUCUGUCCCUUUCCCAAAUAGAUGCUGCUUUCUCAGCCACGCCACGCUUGCUGCACUUGACAAGCAAAGUCGAGGUGAACAACUCCUAAUAAUAACUCAUGCACAUAGGGGUUCAAUUAUGCACCCUAUGGGGCUCUCUUGCCUCGCUGUGGUUUCUGCCCUGUGACAUUUUAAACCAACUGCUUAGAAAUCAACUGUGUGUUAGAUUUCAAGAAACAAACAUUCCCAAGCAUAGCCUUCCUUCAACGGACUUGAUUUGUAUUUGGGAAAUUAGGAAGCAGGAUUCUGAUGGGGCAUGGGCUUGUUCUGGUGGACCAUAGGGCCUCUGUAGGAGAGGCACUUAUUUUGUGGGGAGUCCAAGAGUCAAUCUUCCCUGAGAAGGGUAGAGAUUUUCAAAAUGAAAAAAAGAGUUAGAAGUGGGAAAGGGAAGUGGGUGGUAGUAACUGCCAUUCCGGGCAGACAGUGAGCACAGCAAGGGCAAAGUCCCUGGGGCAGGAGAGCUCAGUGACUGGGACACACUGGUGACUCCCUGUGGUUGAGAUGAAAAUACAUGGGCAGGGUCCUAGCAGAGGGAACUGGGGGGAGAAGGGGAUUCCAGAGCCAGAGCGUAGUGAUUUAGUCUACAUUCUCUGCAAAGUGCUGAGAACUUCUAAACCCAAACCCACGGGGAGUUGCUGAUUUAUUCUCAUUAGGAAAGUGACCUGAUCAGAAUUGCAUCUUCCAAGUGUCACACUGAUAGAAGACAGAACUGACCCAAGGGAGGAACAGAGGAGGAAUGAACAACUGUGGGGUGAUUACCAGAGUCCAGGGGAGGCAUGUGGAGGCCCCAUCAAUCUCCGGCAUAUUGCCCUUAGCUUGCCCCUGGACAGGAGAGCUGCUUCCAGCCCCCCUAACCCAGGCUGGCUCCUGAGAAGCUAUAGUCCUCCAGGACAAAGCAGGCUUCCUCAGCAGUGCAUGGGGGGAAAACUGAGGGGACCCUUUUAGAUCUGAUCUGGAACCUUGGGGUUCUUGGGAGUGGGAAUAACUAACCCUUCCUUGCAGAGGCUGAAUGGAGAAUUCUUGGAUUCUUUCUUCCAGGACUAAGUAAGGCCUUCCAUUUAUAGGUGAGCAUUAUCUAGAGUUCUGGGGGCCACUCCCUGCAGCUCCCUCCAUUUCUAUGGCAAUACUGCCCCUUUCUUUCUUUAUGACUUUCUCUCAGAUGGUUUCCCGGCACCUCCAGGGGUGCUAGAGAAGGGAGCUAAUUGCCAUACUAUAAAUACUGGCCCGAAUGAGCUCCCUCCUAGGGCUCCAAGACCUGGCUUUCCUUUCUCAUUGCCUCUGUGGUGGGUGGGCAGGAGUGGGUGGGUGCAAUCUACAACAGCAAUUCACCAAGAUGUUUUCGAGUUUCUUCAGGGCCUCUAGGGCUCAGCUGUGCCUUCCUUUACCCAAUUAACAGAGGAGUGGGAAGGAAUAAGGGCUAAAUGCCAGGCACAGUGCUAGGCUCUAGAAAUUUUGGGGUGAAUCAGAAAUGCUUUCAAAGACGUCAUAGAGUAGAGAAGAAGACAGAUCUACAGUCAAAUCACAGUGGAUUAUAUACGGUCUGGUGAAAGGGAAGAACCCUGGGUCUGCCUGGAGCAGGAAUGGAGGAUUUCACAAGGUGGGAAAGUUGGGACAAUGGACAAAGAGAGACCAGUAAGGCAGGCUAGACAGAAGGCAUAGGCAUAAGCAGUGCCACCCGAGCUAGCUAGAGCUGGCCCUGUGUGACUCUGGCCCAGGAUGUCUUAGGAGGAGGGGAGCAGGCAAAACACGGUGACACCCUAGAGUCAUGGAACUUGGUGUCAUGUGGUUGCUGGGAGUCACAGGAGGCUCUUGAGCUGUGGUGUGGUCUGAUCAGCAGCUGCUUAGGGAAGGUCACUCCAGAGGGAGGCGGGGACUGCCCUCCCUCUGGUCAGUUAGCCUCAUUAGUUCAAACAGGCUGCCUUCUCCCAGGGCUGGAGCUCAGAGGGAGGUGAGGGCAGUGAACAAGGAAUUCCAAUGAGGACACAAUUAACAUCUCACAAACAGGACAGAAAUGCAAACACCUCGCUGAAGAGUAGAAUUAUGCCCAAGGGGGAGGGAGGGAAAAAAAAAUCUUCCUCUAAUAGCUCUCCGACUUUCAUUAGUUCUGACAGUGAAGGCUGCAUCGUCCUGUGUUCCAUGGCAACUGUUUCCAGGAAGAGCAGCCCGGAGGAGGCAGGCUCUGAGACUUUCAAUCAGUCUGGAAGCUUAGCCAGACAAAACGUCUUGUCGCUAGCUUCGCAGGCUCCUUGGGCGCAGAAGGGAAAGGGAACGAUGUUGGCAAACACUCAGAGGUUAUCUGAAGCAAGAGGCAUCCAAGGCUGCCUCCCUUCUGAGGAUGCCUCCCAGGAGAAGCACUCAGGACCAGAGUUUCCUGCUUCAUGAGGACCAGGGCCUGAGGCUAAAACAGGGACCAGAGACAGGGCAAGCGAGGCUACAGGCUGUAAGGUCUUCUCCAUUCCUCUGGGAAUUAGUCAGACACCUCUUCACUGUGAACCCUCCUGGAGUAACAGAGGUAGAGAUCCUGAGGGCCUGAGCUGGAUCUAAAUUGCAGAUGCUCCUCACUAGCUGGGCUAUCCCAGGCAGCUUACAUCGUUUAUCUGGGGUUCACUGCAUGUCCCAUGGGUCCUAGGAGGAUAAUCAAGACAGCUUCUAGAAAGGCCUAGUUGCAGCAGCAUCUAUUAAUAGGUAGGUGUUGAUCUUUUGCCCUCUUGUUCUGUUCCUAUGUUUAGGGUCUGACCAGAUGAAACAGAUGCAUGGUCCAGCAUCCAGAGACUUUACGUUCCAGGCCCCUCUAGUAACACAGCCUACUCUUUCUAUCUUCUCUUCCUUUUCCAGCCUUUCUUCAAUGCCCUCCCAAUGAUUCCUGUGUCAUUGACUAUACAGCACCAAGAUGUUGUAGUGGGGGUGGAGGAAGCAAGCGACUUAGCUCUGUCUCUCAGCAAGUUAGGAAGUCCAGCUAUAGUUUGGUGUCCUUAGGACUCUGGUCCUAUGCCAGACAACCUGCUUGGGAUUUGGACCAGGGGAAACACAGACUACGUUGGUUGGCUACAUGGGAUGACACUCCUAGACAACACAACCCCCUCAGGGCUCUGUGCUUCAUCACAGCAAAUCUGUCGGAAGGACCUACUGUAUGAAGAAAUUCUGUGGCUUACACAGAAACCCUGUUCUUGUGAGCUUGCUGGCUAGAAGAGGGAGAUGGUCGUAAACCACGGACAGGAGGCAGGAUGUGGUGCAGGCAUGGACAAAGGAAAAGGAGGGGGAGGUGAGAGGACUGGAGUGUCAGGGAAAGAGGAGGGCUGUGCUUGAGAAGGCUGAAUCUCAUCUCAGCUGACUGAAAGGAGUCACAGUCCGGACAGUGUCUUCCAGGCCUAGGGGACUCAGUGCAAAGGCUCUGAUUGGCAUGCUCAAGGGACGGCAGGGGAACAAUGUGGGUGUCACCCUGCAGGUGUCCAGACUGGCUGGAUGGCUGUCAUUUUUCUCUAUGUGGUGCUGUGUUAAUUGCCAAGUAUUGGAAAGGGGCUGCUUUCUCCUCCCUUCAUCUACCACAAACUAAAUACUUUCUCACCAGUUCCAAGUAUCAUUUAAAUAAAGUCUUUUAAGCAUAAAGAAGCGUUGGGAAUCCAUCAAUGGAUUCUUAUGCCAGUGGAGAAACUGAGGCUCAGAAAGGGCCAAUUACACAGCUUGGUAGAAGAGAUGGAAUUAAUACCCAAGGUUCUGGAAGGUCUUGGGGGUUGGACUCAAGGUUUCUGAUACAGAGUACACUUGGGGGUCCCAAUCAGUUGGACCCCUCAGAUUCCUUUCAUCCCUGCUCACUUGAACCUCUGAAAUGGCCAUGAGGCUCCCAUGUCUGUGAACAUGACUGCUUCUGGCUCAGCUUCUGGCUCUUUAAUAAAGCCACACACUGACAACCUGAUCCACUGAGCAUCAUCCUUUGUCAUUCUCUAACCCUCAGAGCUACACUGCCCUGAGACAGGUCACCCCACCUACCUGAGCCAGUGUCUCUUGCUUCCUACCUGCUUAGGGAAGUUAGCCACUCAGUAAUGUAAAGUGUAUCUUACAGCAGUGUCUGACACAGGAGGUCAAUGAAAGUUUAUUGAGUAAAUAAAUCAGGAUAGUGUUUGCAGAAGUGUAUGUCUAUGGACCUGCUUAGCGUAUCCAUAAAGAAAAGGUCCGAGAACAUGACAAUCAAUGGUAUGGGUUUUGCAAUAAAGAAAAUGCAGGUGCAAGGCACACUAAAAAACCUCCCUUAUUAAAGGAUAAGAACUGGUUGGUAGGAUUAUUGGAAUUAAGUUGUAUACAGUGAUCAAUAGUAGUACAGUAUCCUUGGGAUGGGCUCUGGGGUAUCGUAGGCAGAGACUCUCCCACUUUAGUGGGGAUACCACAUCCCCAGGAGGGCUUGAUGAGUCAGUUUGCCCCUUCCCCACUUCCCCAGCUUACCAUUCAAGGUCUGUGAUUGCAUUUCCAAAUGUGUUCUGAGGUGAUGUGGCUGCGGCUUGCUGGGAGGUGAAAAAGCCCGUGUCUUAGAACAAGAUGAGGUCUGUGCAAAGAGAAGAAACAGAAGACCUCCAGGCUGGCUGUGCAAACAAUCCAGAUGGAGACAUGUUUUGGGAACCAUACCCAGGAGACAACCUGUUCUGUAGCCCAAGGAGUCAGCUGAUGUUUGCACACCUGGGUGGCCAGCUGCUCUCCCUCCAGCUCUGCCGCAGGAAAUCCCUCAGUCCAGGUGAAUCCAGAUGGUUGCUCUUGGGAGCCCUUCCAGUCUUUUUUCUUUCACUGUGUACUGAUUUGGUACCUGCCUACCAAGACUACAGAGCCACAGAAAGAGCAUAUGGAAGAACCCUGAGACGCUCUGGGGCCAUUCCUCAUCUUUCCCACUUGAGAAGCAUGCCAUGGCCAUUCCCCAAACUGCCUAAAGGGAAAGAGGACUACAGGGCCAUCCCCUGUACUGCUCACUGGGCCAAGAUCUACGCUUGAUUGUGUUUGUCCUUUGGAAAAAGAAAUAGAUGUCAUGAAUUGGAAAAGCAAGCAAUUCAUGUAGAUUAUUAAAUAAAUUAAAAAGCAGGAUAUAUUUAAAUUAAAAAUUAGAAUAUCUUCAAAGACAUUGAUCUUGCUUCACAAUUAGAUGCUUAUCCUUAGAGAUAACUUGACCUGUCUGUCUACCUGUCUACCUAUCAUGUAUCUAUCUAUCAUCUGUCCAUCUCAACAUGCCUGCAUGGUAUUGUUUAUUAGAUGUGCACAUGUUAUUAAAAUCUGAUCAUAGGAGCCACAUUACUUUGCAAUCAACAUUUUUCUUUAACAAUACAUCAUGAACAUCUUUCCUCUUUAGUCCUUUAGCGAUUACCCCAUCAUUCAUAAUGGUAGCACAUUAUCCUGUUGUAUGAUGUACCCUAAUUUAUUUAAUCAUUCCUGUUUUUAAAGACAACUGGGCUCUUUCCAUUUUUUAAAAUUAUAAACAGUACAUUUUGUACACUGUCAAUAAUCUCCUUCAUAUGCUUUUUUAGAAAUAAAGUAUUGGAUCAAAGUAUCCAUCCUUACAAUUGUUAUGCAGAGUGCCCUCUGAAAGGCUAUUCUGAUGUAUGCUCCCAUGACAAUCUCUGAGACUACUAAUUGCCCACAUGCUCAUUAGUCAUGGGUAUGCCGAGUCUAAAUCAUUCGCCAAGCUGAUGGAUAAGAAAUGAAUCCUUUGCAUUUUAAAAGUUACUUCAUUUUGAUUUUCAGUGAGGAAUUGAAUCUUUUUCUUGUGUCUCUUGGCUAUGUGUAUUUCUUAUCUCUCGUUCUACCUGAGGUAUGUGAUUUCGUGUGCCCUGGCCUCAACAUACAUGCACAUCACAGUGAAGAGCUUCAGGAAGUAAGUUAUGUCUGCCCCAGUGCCUACCCUACCAAAGAAACCUUUAUUAGUUGUCUACUCUGUGCUGGGUAUGAAAUUGUAAGGCUUUAGACACAAAGACACUGAACACAAUGUUUCCAUUCUGAAAUGUUUUUAAAGUCUGCCAUGAGAGACAAACAUAACCCACUGGAAGACACAAAUGAUGUGACUAGCCAUUACAGCGGCCUGAGGACAGCAGGGGCCCACCUUUUGUUUCUAAAUUGAGAGGAGAUGCUGUGAGGUCAUCUCGGUCCUCUGUUAUUCGAUGUUAGAAGUGCUGUUUCUGAUCUGAACCCUGAUAAUAAACAGUCAUACCUGUACCAAUGA